rnacentral:rRNA from 1 species
GGUGAACGCUGGCGGCGUGCUUAACACAUGCAAGUCGAACGAAGCACCUCUCCCGAAGAUUGACACAGCUUGCUGUAGAUUGAUUCAUUUGAGGUGACUGAGUGGCGGACGGGUGAGUAACGCGUGGGUAACCUGCCUCAUAGAGGGGGACAACAGUUGGAAACGACUGCUAAUACCGCAUAGUAAGAAGAAUUCGCAUGUUUUCUUCUUGAAAGAUUUAUCGCUAUGAGAUGGACCCGCGUCUGAUUAGCUAGUUGGUAAGGUAACGGCUUACCAAGGCGACGAUCAGUAGCCGGCUUGAGAGAGUGAACGGCCACAUUGGGACUGAGACACGGCCCAAACUCCUACGGGAGGCAGCAGUGGGGAAUAUUGCACAAUGGGGGAAACCCUGAUGCAGCGACGCCGCGUGAGUGAAGAAGUAUUUCGGUAUGUAAAGCUCUAUCAGCAGGGAAGAUAAUGACGGUACCUGACUAAGAAGCCCCGGCUAACUACGUG